CCCUUAGAUGUCCUGGGCUGCACGCGCGCUACACUGAUGUGUCCAGUAAGCACCUAACCUCUUCCGAAAGGAACGGGUAACCUUUGCAAAGCACAUCGUGAUGGGGAUAGAUUAUUGCAAUUAUUAGUCUUGAACGAGGAAUUCCUAGUAAGCACAAGUCAUCAGCUUGUGUUGAUUACGUCCCUGCCCUUUGUACACACCGCCCGUCGCUCCUAACGAUUGAAUGUUCCGGUGAGCUCUUCGGACUGCGCGGUCUGCAGUUUCUGCGUUCCGUGCGGAAAGUUGCGCAAACCUUAACAUUUAGAGGAAGGAGAAGUCGUAACA
rnacentral:rRNA from 1 species